rfam:Blautia sp. YL58, complete genome.
GAACACCCGCACGGCAAAGCGCAGCGAGCCGCCGUUAGCAAGUCUUGAGUGCUGUCUGGUAACAGACAGGGCUAAGCGUAGACAGCAAGGGAGCAGGGCUGCAAUGCUAUAGAGCCCCGAAACUUCACAAAGUCUCAGAGGACGACGCAGUUUAUCCAUGUGGAAGGCAGCAUCGCGGCACGAGAUAUCACGAGUGUGCCGCGGCUCUGGCGGGGUCUGAGGGCC